AGAAAUUGGACUCGGGUCACAGACCCGGGAACACGGGAUUUUCGCCAAAUUUCUUCGUUUAGGCCUCCGAAUAAUUAAUUUCCACAUUAAUUAUGUAAGGUUGAAGAAGUGUUGGAUAGAAAAUUAACAACGCAAAAUCGCCCCAGGGGAGAUUUCGUCAUUUGUCGCGAUGGCGUCAGAAUGGAUCGAAAUUUAGCAGGUCGAUUGGAAACGGCCC
rnacentral:lncRNA from 1 species